UGAGAAGCAGCAGUAAUGUGGUGUGCCUAAACAGGAAAGAAAUUACUCUUUCAGUGAAAAAGUGAAUUUUUGUCUUUUGCAUGAGCACUCUGAAUCUGCACACAGUGUCAGAAAAUUUUCAGGGGUAAAGAGCCUUAUUAGUCAUACGGAUGACUAUUUGUGGCUGGUGGUAUGAAAUCAUGGAUGUGCUGUUACUUCAUCUGCAUUCACAACAUGGUAACAUCCUCCUUGAAAAAAAAUAUGAACAGCAGCUGAUGUAUAAAAAGCUUCUAGUAACAAUCACUGUGUGCUCAUAAACUGAUUCUCUUAAAUAAAAAUAAUGGUUAAAAUCCUAUAGAUUCAUUACCAAAUUUUUGAUACAGACGAAAUGUUAAGCCAAGGCAGUUUCUUUUCACCACUAAAUGUUACCUUAUUUCGGUAUGAUAAAAUACCAUUUUUUGCUUUAGUUUACUUCUUUAUUGUCCAGCUUUCUGAAUUUUUUUUUCUACUUUAACAUAAAAUCUUCUUGCUCCUUUCUUUCUCACAGGAAAGAUGGUGAAUUUUACCCAGAUGCACUGAGCAAUACCCAGUAGAAAUGCCUGAUUUUAUUUCAUUUAAGGCUGAGCUCUCUGCAUGACCUCUCUUUUAAGAUUCUGGACACUUGCUGUGGGUGCCUGCCUGGCUCCAAACUCUGUCAGUCUGUUUCAGUGACUCCCAUCACCUUGAAAGGGAAGAAAGCAUCAAGGGAGAAGAAACUAAGAGGAAUAAAAAAUGAGAUGGCAAAACAAAUAGGAAAGGGAGAGCCUGAAACUUC